rnacentral:lncRNA from 1 species
CGGAGACCAAGUUGGAUUAUCUAGUUCAUGGACUACUUUAUUGUUAAGGACGGGACUCUUUCCCUAUCUCGCCUUGUUAAAGGGUGUCGGGUGGGCUAUUUUCAUGAAAAAAAUAAAAAAAACGUCGUUAAAUGCAGCAUUAAAAGGAGGGGGAAUUGGGCGGGCCGACGGUGCCAUCUAUCAACCAAAAAUCGCAAGUUCUUGCUGAUUGACAACUGAACUCGAAAUUGUAGGGUGCUAUCUAUCAACCAAAAUCGCAUGAUCUUGCUGAUUGACAACUGAACUUGAAACAGGGGUCCUCACUGUGUUCGGAAAGUUCCCGAUAGGGUUUGGGUUGUUUCUUGUUACUUGCGAUCAUAUGCUUGAAAAACACAAUUUAACAAGAGUUCUUGUUACAUCGUGGUUCAGAAGACACCGUUUGAAAGAAACAUCCAGCUCAAAGCACAGUUCAAACUGUUCUUAUCCUUAGUGGGACAAUGGUACGCCCUCUAUCAGCAGCCUUACAAUGUGCUUCAUAAAUACAUCAACCCCUGAGAUCGUUGGAAAUUGUUUGUUCUCCACCUUUAUUAUUCACAUGCAAUGUCGCCGAACUUUGUUGUUGUGUGCGAUACGUUUGUCUAAGUGGCAGAUAGAACGGCUAAUUAUUUAAAUCUCCCUUCGGAUAAUCUACUUCUCUGACAAGUACUUUGAGGCCGGAAUUAAUUGAGUCCACUUCGCAUAUGGCUUCUUCGUGCCGUUUGUUAAUUCGAAUCAUUAGCGCACGAAGAACCUUUCAUGGAAGCUGAUUAACAGAAUUUCUGCUAGAUGGCGGUGACAGUGAAGGACAAACAGUUUGUCUGCUUGAGAAGAGAGAAAUAGUUAAUCUGCUUUAGAAGUCACGUUGACGUAAGCACGUAAGGGAUUAUUAUUUAAAAGAAAUGGGUUUUUAUAAUUUAAAUGGCAGUAAGAAAGCAAAAUAAAUGUUUCUGCUACCGAUAUGACAAGGUACAAGUCAAAUGUUUUAUUAUUCUGAUUUUCUGAAUCCUCAUUCUGCUGGUCUUGCCUUUAUUGGGGCCGCGGUAUAUCGUGUACGCGUACCGUGUACCGUGUACCGGUAUAUCGUGGAAAACCAUCGUGGAAUGGAUAGCCCCGCCCAGAAGGGGAGGAGCCUAUUAUCGUGGAAUGGGUCGAUUUCCACGGUAUAUCGUGGAAAGCGAUCGUGUACCACUAUACGUAUAUAUACACAGCAGACAACAGGCCCAAAGAAUCAAAAUUCAAACUUGACACGUGUGGUGAAUUGUUUAGUGACUUCAUAUACAAGUUUUAAGUACAAUGUCUUCCAGGCCAAAGAGAAAAUGUAAAGCCACUAAUCCGCCUCUGUCAACAGUGUGUACAAGUUCAAAGGCUAUGGAUCCGGUAAGCAAUGACCCUUUGUCAGCUUUCAUGGAAGAGGAUCAGUCUAUGUCCCCCCAGCCUCUCAUCAUAGAUGAGUCGCAGGCUGAAGUGGGUGAGACAAAUGUUGCUGUCCGAGCAGCCACUGAUGAAUAAAUAAUUGCUGCUGGCACGACUCAGGAAUGGAAAAUGACUGCGGAGAACCUUGCAGAGGAGAACUGUACCCUAAAGGGCAAGGUUAAGCUGCUGGAAGAAGCCUUAGUGGCGCAAAAGGCAGCCUCUGACGAGAAAGUUACUUCCUUGGAGUUGGAGCUAAAAAUUGUGACAUUAAAUUGUGUACAUGUGUAUAUAAAGAACUUAUAGAAUAACUGUCAGUUCUUAACUAUACAGUUAUUCUAUGUAUUAUAGUUAUAUAUAAUACCUAUAUAUAGUAUCCUUAUAUAAUACCUAUAAAGAGGUAUUGUUUAGAAGAACUAAACACAGGUACUAUAUAGUACCUACAUUUGUACAAUACUAUAUAAAGCACGGUAAAUAGUAUUAUAUAGUACUUGUAUAUAGUAUUUAUACAAUAUUAAUUUACAAAAAUUUAUUUAUUCAUUGAAUAGUACUGCUGUAUAGUACUACUGUAUAGCGCUACUAUAUAGAAAUACUAUAUAGAACUACUAUAUAGUAUACCACUACUG